AGUUUGAUCAUGGCUCAUGAUGAACGCUACCGGCAUGCUUAAUACAUGCAAGUCGAGGGGCAGCAGGUUUGUAGCAAUACAAAUGCUGGCGACCGGCGAACGGGUGCGGAGCACUGACACAACCUUCCUUUAAGUGGGGAAUAGCCCACAGAAAUUUGGAUUAAUACCCCGUAACAUUAUGAUGAGGCAUCACAUUAUAAUUAUAGCUCCGGCGCUUAAUGAUGGGUGUGCGGCUGAUUAGGUAAUUGGCGGCGCAACGGCCCACCUCGCCUGCAAUCAGCACCUGGGGUGAUACCGGGACCAGUCCCGAGGGCACUGAGACGCGGGCCCGACUCCUACAGGAGGCAUGAACACCGAAUAUUGGGCAAUGGAGGCUGCUCUGACCCAACCAUGCCGCGUGCAGGAUGAAAGCCCUCCGGGUCGGCUACUUCAUUUACUUGCGACGAAAAAGGGCUUUUCUAAUUCACUGACGGUACCAGAUGAAUAACCACCGGCUAACUCCGUGCCAGCAGCCGCGGUAAUACGGAUGGUGCAAGCGGUAUCCGGAUUCACUGUGUUUACAGGCUGCGUAGGCGGGUUGGUGACUCAGUGCCGAUGUUCCUUAUCUUCGCUUCAGAACUGCUACC
rnacentral:rRNA from 1 species